rnacentral:lncRNA from 1 species
CACUGAUCUUCCUCAUCCCUGGCAGUGACCAUCAGCGCUUCCCAGUGCUCCAACUGUGGAUGGCAUUGAGACCUGGAUCUCCACACACAGAUGCUCUUUCUGUCUGUCUCAUGGUGGGGACUGGUUCCUGCCGGAUAGAAGUGGAUGGGAACCUCUGUUCAUUUUGUCUUCAGGGAAGGGAAGGUGAGGAGGGGGAGGUGGCCCUGCAGACGACCCCCACAGAUUCAGAGCUCUCUUCUUCACCAAUCAAGAUCCCAAAACUAAGACUGAGAUGAUGAGACAUUGAUCACCCAGACCACAGCCCACCAAAUAAUCCUUGAAUGCUGGCCUCCAGUCUCUGCCAUGGGCCAGUCUUAUGAGACUGAUUCCUCCAGCCAUAUAUAAGCUGGAUCCUUUCCUGUUCUUGCUCUGAACUUCCAAUUAAAUCUUUC